GCGCCAGUGGCUUGGUGGUUAAAAGCUUCCGUUUCGGAUUCGGGAAGUCGUGGGUUCAAUCCCCGGCCUAGUCAUA